rnacentral:rRNA from 1 species
AUUGAACGCUGGCGGCAGGCCUAACACAUGCAAGUCGAGCGGAUGAAGGGAGCUUGCUCCUGGAUUCAGCGGCGGACGGGUGAGUAAUGCCUAGGAAUCUGCCUGGUAGUGGGGGAUAACGUCCGGAAACGGGCGCUAAUACCGCAUACGUCCUGAGGGAGAAAGUGGGGGAUCUUCGGACCUCACGCUAUCAGAUGAGCCUAGGUCGGAUUAGCUAGUUGGUGGGGUAAAUGCCUACCAAGGCGACGAUCCGUAACUGGUCUGAGAGGAUGAUCAGUCACACUGGAACUGAGACACGGUCCAGACUCCUACGGGAGGCAGCAGUGGGGAAUAUUGGACAGUGGGCGAAAGCCUGGUCCAGCCAUGCCGCGUGUGUGAAAAAGGUCUUCGGAUUGUAAAGCACUUUAAGUUGGGAGGAAGGGCAGUAAGUUAAUACCUUGCUGUUUUGACGUUACCAACAGAAUAAGCACCGGCUAACUUCGUG